rnacentral:rRNA from 1 species
UAGGGAAUCUUCGGCAAUGGGGGGAACCCUGACCGAGCAACGCCGCGUGAGUGAAGAAGGUUUUCGGAUCGUAAAGCUCUGUUGUUAAGGAAGAACGAGUGUGAGAAUGGAAAGUUCAUACUGUGACGGUACUUAACCAGAAAGGGACGGCUAACUACGUGCCAGCAGCCGCGGUAAUACGUAGGUCCCGAGCGUUGUCCGGAUUUAUUGGGCGUAAAGCGAGCGCAGGCGGGUAGAUAAGUCUGAAGUUAAAGGCAGUGGCUCAACCAUUGUAGGCUUUGGAAACUGUUUAACUUGAGUGCAGAAGGGGAGAGUGGAAUUCCAUGUGUAGCGGUGAAAUGCGUAGAUAUAUGGAGGAACAACGGUGGCGAAAGCGGCUCUCUGGUCUGUAACUGACGCUGAGGCUCGAAAGCGUGGGGAGCGAACAGG